ensembl:lncRNA
CUCAGUUCCUCUGAUGUUGUUCUCGUUGACUGGGAGUCAAAAUGUUCCAUUUCCUCAUCACAUUCUCUGUACUACUUAUUUGCCUUAUGGGUAAUAGGCCUAAUACACAUUUUGGAAAUCAUCAAUUAUUUUGAUGUCCAGGAUGGGCAUUUCUGUGUAUGUGUCCAUCCAUUGGGGUAUAAGGGCCCAAUGUGGAUAUAAUUUCAUCCAUCACUUGAAGUAAAAUGUCUUCUCUCCACCUCUACCCAGGUCUCUCUCUCAGCCUUGAGGUUUAUCAGACUCCCUCUGAAGUCUUACUGAAACGUGGAGAGAACGUUCAGAUCUUCUGCCACCAUGAGAGAACUAACUACAGACUGAUGCAGUGGUUCCAGCAGUCACCGGGAGAACUCAAAUGUAUAGCCUAUUUAUUGUUUAAGUCUCAAACCACGUACAUUGAAGAACAUCUAAACGUGAGUGGGGAUUUGAGUCAGAACGACCCGAAGAAUGUUUCUCUGAACAUGUUCAACCUUAAAGGUCCCGAUCACAGUGCAGUUUAUUACUGUGCUGCAAGUGAAGGCCACAGUGUUGUAGAUUCCCUCUCUGCACUACAAAAACCCUGUGUGUCACAAUCUGUCUCACUGUAGUAAACUAUUUAACAGAACACCUCCCUCACACCUGCGUUGAGGUCUGGAUUUGAUCCGAUAUACUGUAACCACAACUAGAAUGAGUAGAACGGGCCUCCUCAUUCAAGUCAAUGAUGCCAUAAUGGGUGGACUGGCAGCCAUCCUUUCUAGACAUUAUAUUUCUGUGACUGUGACAACGUUCUGCCGUUACAUCGCUGAUGAGGUCACUUCCUGUCCCUCUUUCUCCUCUCCAGUCAGUUCAGAUGAGAUGUCAGUUAGUUGUUGAUGUUCAGCUCCAGACUCAACAUGAUCAGAACCCUCUUACUCGGUUGGCUCUCAGGUCUCUGUCUCAGUGUUGAGGUUCACCAGACUCCCUCUGCAGUCUUCAGCAGACCUGGAGAGAAUGUUCAACUCUUCUGCCAACAUCAGAAAACAGACUAUAGAGUGAUGUUGUGGUACCAGAAACCACAAGGAGAAACAGCACUGAAACUCAUUGGAUAUUUGAAUUUUAAUUCUCAAACCAUUGAGAGUUCAUAUGAAAAGCAUUUUAAUAUGAGUGGGGAUUUGGGUGGAGGUGGCCCAAAGAAUGCCUCUCUGAACAUCUUCAACUUGAGACGACCCCAACACAGUGCUGUGUAUUUCUGUGCUGCUAGUAAGGCACAGUGUUGCAGAUUCCCCUGUCUACACUACAAAAACCUUCUCUCAGUCACUGUCUCACUAGAUUAUACUGAAGCAACACCUCCCUCUCACCUGCACUGAGGUCUGGAUUUGAUUCAGUGCCAAUAUAAUAAAACAGUACAGCUGUCUGAUGCCACGCCGCAUUCUGUCAUUACAUCACUGAUGAAGUCACUUCCUGUUCCACCUCUCCAGUCAGUUCAGAUGAGAUGAGAUGUCAGGUGGUUGUCAGCGAACACUAAGGCCCUGUCUAGACUUGACAGUUCAUGCAGCUUUAUUGUUCUGAUCAUAGAGAUCUGAUCAUGGAAUUCCCAACGCGUCAUGCAUCUAAACCUACAUUUAACUGUUUCUACCGUGUCCACUGUGUGUUUGGAUUCCAUUUUCCC